GUGGGGGAUAUUGGACAAUGGGCGAAAGCCUGAUCCAGCCAUGCCGCGUGUGUGAAGAAGGUCUUCGGAUUGUAAAGCACUUUAAGUUGGGAGGAAGGGCAGUAAGUUAAUACCUUGCUGUUUUGACGUUACCGACAGAAUAAGCACCGGCUAACUUCGUGCCAGCAGCCGCGGUAAUACGAAGGGUGCAAGCGUUAAUCGGAAUUACUGGGCGUAAAGCGCGCGUCGGUGGUUUUGUAAGUUGGAGGUGAAAUCCCCGGGCUCAACCUGGGAACUGCCUCCAAAACUGCAUGACUAGAGUACGGUAGAGGGUAGUGGAAUUUCCUGUGUAGCGGUGAAAUGAGUAGAUAUAGGAAGGAACACCAGUGGCGAAGGCGACUACCUGGACUGAUACUGACACUGAGGUGCGAAAGCGUGGGGAGCAAACAGGAUUAGAAACCCGGGUAGUCC
rnacentral:rRNA from 1 species